rnacentral:rRNA from 1 species
UACGUAGGAGGCGAGCGUUGUCCGGAAUUACUGGGUGUAAAGCGCGCGUAGGUGGGAGGCCAAGUCCGUGGUGAAAUCCUCCGGCUCAACCGGAGAACUGCCUCGGAUACUGGGCGUCUCGAGUGUGGUAGGGGUAUGCGGAACUAUCGGUGGAGCGGUGAAAUGCGUUGAUAUCGAUAGGAACUCCGGUGGCGAAGGCGGCAUACUGGACCACCACUGACGCUGAUGCGCGAAAGCCAGGGGAGCAAACGGG